rnacentral:rRNA from 1 species
UGCAGUCGAGCGGACAGAUGGGAGCUUGCUCCCUGAUGUUAGCGGCGGACGGGUGAGUAACACGUGGGUAACCUGCCUGUAAGACUGGGAUAACUCCGGGAAACCGGGGCUAAUACCGGAUGGUUGUCUGAACCGCAUGGUUCAGACAUAAAAGGUGGCUUCGGCUACCACUUACAGAUGGACCCGCGGCGCAUUAGCUAGUUGGUGAGGUAACGGCUCACCAAGGCGACGAUGCGUAGCCGACCUGAGAGGGUGAUCGGCCACACUGGGACUGAGACACGGCCCAGACUCCUACGGGAGGCAGCAGUAGGGAAUCUUCCGCAAUGGACGAAAGUCUGACGGAGCAACGCCGCGUGAGUGAUGAAGGUUUUCGGAUCGUAAAGCUCUGUUGUUAGGGAAGAACAAGUGCCGUUCAAAUAGGGCGGCACCUUGACGGUACCUAACCAGAAAGCCACGGCUAACUACGUGCCAGCAGCCGCGGUAAUACGUAGGUGGCAAGCGUUGUCCGGAAUUAUUGGGCGUAAAGGGCUCGCAGGCGGUUUCUUAAGUCUGAUGUGAAAGCCCCCGGCUCAACCGGGGAGGGUCAUUGGAAACUGGGGA